GGACUACUAGGGUAUCUAAUCCUGUUUGCUCCCCACGCUUUCGUGCAUGAGCGUCAAUCUUGACCCAGGGGGCUGCCUUCGCCAUCGGUGUUCCUCCACAUCUCUACGCAUUUCACUGCUACACGUGGAAUUCUACCCCCCUCUGCCAGAUUCCAGCCUUGCAGUCUCCAACGCAAUUCCCAGGUUGAGCCCGGGGAUUUCACGUCAGACUUACAAAACCGCCUGCGCACGCUUUACGCCCAGUAAUUCCGAUUAACGCUUGCACCCUACGUAUUACCGCGGCGGCUGACAC
rnacentral:misc_RNA from 1 species